UUCCGUAGGUGAACCUGCGGAGGGAUCAUUACACAAAUAUGAAGGCGGGCUGGAACCUCUCGGGGUUACAGCCUUGCUGAAUUAUUCACCCUUGUCUUUUGCGUACUUCUUGUUUCCUUGGUGGGUUCGCCCACCACUAGGACAAACAUAAACCUUUUGUAAUUGCAAUCAGCGUCAGUAACAAAUUAAUAAUUACAACUUUCAACAACGGAUCUCUUGGUUCUGGCAUCGAUGAAGAACGCAGCGAAAUGCGAUAAGUAGUGUGAAUUGCAGAAUUCAGUGAAUCAUCGAAUCUUUGAACGCACAUUGCGCCCUUUGGUAUUCCAAAGGGCAUGCCUGUUCGAGCGUCAUUUGUACCCUCAAGCUUUGCUUGGUGUUGGGCGUCUUGUCUCUAGCUUUGCUGGAGACUCGCCUUAAAGUAAUUGGCAGCCGGCCUACUGGUUUCGGAGCGCAGCACAAGUCGCACUCUCUAUCAGCAAAGGUCUAGCAUCCAUUAAGCCUUUUUUCAACUUUUGACCUCGGAUCAGGUAGGGAUACCCGCUGAACUUAAGCAUAUCAAUAAGCGGAGGAA
rnacentral:rRNA from 1 species